rnacentral:rRNA from 1 species
UACGUAGGGGGCUAGCGUUGUCCGGAAUCAUUGGGCGUAAAGAGCGCGUAGGCGGCCAGAUAAGUCCGGUGUGAAAGUCAAAGGCUCAACCUUUGAAUGCCGCUGGAAACUGUCUGGCUAGAGUCCGGGAGGGGCGAGUGGAAUUCCUGGUGUAGCGGUGAAAUGCGCAGAUAUCAGGAAGAACACCCGUGGCGAAGGCGGCUCUCUGGUACGUGACUGACGCUGAGACGCGAAAGCGUGGGGAGCGAACAGG